rnacentral:misc_RNA from 1 species
AGGGUACCGGAGCAGUCUCCAGAAAGACACACUAAACAGCUGAGAGUGUGGUGGUGUGGAGGAGUGCCUGAUGCACACGAGUCACAAUAUAAUGGUGUGGAGGUGGUAAUGGUGGAUGCCUGCACCCGUGACCAGUGCCUGACCGUGGCUCAUGACUCAAGCAGGAGGCAGCAGCAGCAGAAGCCAGCCCAGAUUGUGUGAAGACGAGGCUAAUCUACUGCCUGCACGAUUCUAAGUCAAGGCUUCUCUCGUUCUCGUCACAAGUGGGUGGCGCUUGGACGUCUGACCUCACCAAAUGGCUGCCUCUGCAUCUCUACACACCUCGUCCAUCUCCUCUGUUGUUACUUCCUCAGAGGACACAAUGGGCGAGGUGGGUACUACUCCGCCCCCCGCAGUUGUAAAAGAAGGGUGGCUAAACAAGCGUGGGGAACACAUCAAGAACUGGCGACAACGUUAUUUCUUUCUCCUUGAAGAUGGAACUCUUCUGGGGUUCAAAACCAAGCCUGACCAUGGCCUUGAUGAUCCACUAAACAACUUCACAGUUAAACGAUGUCAGAUCUUAAAGACGGAAAGACCGCGACCUAACACUUUUAUUAUCCGUGGUCUUCAUUGGACAACUGUCAUAGAACGUACUUUUAAUGCCCAGUCAGCUAGUGACAGGGAAGCAUGGAUGGAAGCCAUUAAGCAGGUGUCCGAGAGGAUAUCUGAAUCAUCAUCUGGGCACUGUGUGCAGAUUCAGGAGGCGGAGUCGGUAGAACAAAUUCAGUUGAAAUAUUCUAAUGAAGAUGACGAUGAUGGCACUGGAUCUCGAACCUCGAAGAAAAAAAGAAAAAUUACUCUAGAUAACUUCGAGUUCCUGAAAGUUCUUGGAAAAGGGACAUUUGGAAAAGUAAUUCUUUGUAGGGAAAAGAGCAGCAAUCACUUCUAUGCUAUCAAGAUCCUACGUAAGGAUGUGAUUAUCAAGCGUGAUGAAGUGGCCCACACACUGACUGAAAACCGCGUGUUACAAGUCGUGGAUCAUCCUUUUCUCACUUACCUCAAGUACUCAUUCCAAACAAAUGAUCGUCUCUGCUUUGUGAUGGAAUAUGUCAAUGGUGGAGAACUUUUUUUUCACCUUAAUCAAGAACGCAUAUUUCCUGAAGAGCGUGCCAAGUUUUAUGGAGCAGAAAUCUGUCUUGCUCUCGGAUAUUUACACGAAAGAAAUAUAAUUUACCGGGAUUUAAAGUUGGAAAACUUAUUACUUGAUGCUGAUGGCCACAUUAAAAUAGCAGAUUUCGGCUUGUGCAAAGAAGACAUUUCAUAUGGGUCGACCACUCGCACUUUCUGUGGCACACCUGAAUAUUUAGCACCGGAGGUGCUCGAGGAAAAUGAUUAUGGCCGGGGUGUAGACUGGUGGGGCUACGGUGUAUGUUUGUACGAAAUGAUGGUAGGACGCUUACCUUUCUACGACAAAGAUCAUGAUAAGCUUUUCCAACUUAUAGUCUGUGAAGAUGUACGGUUCCCAAGGACGAUUUCUCAAGAAGCCCGUGACCUGCUUAAAGGUUUGUUACAUAAGGAUCCAAAUAAACGUUUGGGAGGUGGUCCAGGUGAUGUAAGAGAGGUUCAGAGUCAUCCCUUCUAUGUAACAAUCAACUGGAAACUUCUUGAAGAAAAAAAGUUAACUCCACCAUUCAAGCCACAAGUAACCAGCGAGACUGAUACCCGGUACUUCGAUCGAGAAUUCACCGGAGAGUCUGUGCAGCUUACUCCACCUGAUCAAGGGGAGCACCUUAAUGUUAUUGAUGAAGAAUCAGAAUACUUGACUUUCAACCACUUCUCUUAUCAGGACAUUUCAUCAACUCUUGGCAGCUCACUAGCAUCAAGUCUCAAUUCCUUAGGUGUAGCGGAGGAAGGCUGAGGAGAAACAGUUUAUCUGUAAAUGUACUUUGUUGAAGCUUGCUAUCAGGGUACAGUUUGAUCCUGUCAUUACAGUAUUGUAUUUGUUUUGUUAUUUUUUGUAGAGUAUUAUCAAUUAUUGUAUUAUGAAAUUAUAUAUAUAUAUACAUAUAUAUAUUUUUUUUUUUUUUGUUUAACGUAUCAGAGAAGUAGAUAAAUUUAACCUUCAUUGCCCUUAGAAACAUUGAUGUGAAAAUGUGUUUUAAUAUCCAUUUUAUUAUAAUUUUUGCUUAUAAGUUUCUUCUAGCUAUCAUCUUAACUCUUCAGUCAUAAAAAAAAAAAUUGUUUUCCAUUAGUCCUUUGCGCUUUCCGUUUCCUAUUUAGGCUUUUAUUUUUGUCAUACAGCCCCAUCUCUACACGUGUGUACGCUGGCUAACACAACCCGCAUUUGUUCUUUCACGUACUUUCAUUCGCAGCAAUUGACAAGUGCAUCACUAGGUUGUUGACCAAGUAAGUGUGCAUAAUUCUUUAGAACAUGUUCGGUGUUAUUGCCCAGUAUUCACUCCCAGAAGACAAUACUUGAAACAUUUUAAGCCAGCUGCAUUGGCCCACACUGCUCUUGACUUAAGGUGAACAUUCACUACACUACUCCUGACACAGGUGAACAUUCACUACACUGCUCCUGACACAAGGUGAACAUUCACUACACUGCUCCUGACACAAGGUGAACAUUCACUACACUGCUCCUGACACAAGGUGAGCGCUGGCUACACUACUCCUGACACAAGGUGAACAUUCACUACACUACUCCUGACACAGGUGAACAUUCACUACACUGCUCCGGACACAAGGUGAACAUUCACUACACUGCUCCUGACACAAGGUGAGCGCUGGCUACACUACUCCUGACACAAGGUGAACAUUCACUACACUACUCCUGACACAGGUGAACAUUCACUACACUGCUCCUGACACAAGGUGAACAUUCACUACAUUCCUCCUGACACAAGGUGAGCGCUGGCUACACUACUCCUGACACAAGGUGAACAUUCACUACACUACUCCUGACACAAGGUGAACAUUCACUACACUGCUCCUGACACAAGGUGAACAUUCACUACACUGCUCCUGACACAAGGUGAACAUUCACUACACUGCUCCUGACACAAGGUGAACAUUCACUACACUACUCCUGACACAAGGUGAACAUUCACUACACUGCUCCUGACACAAGGUGAACAUUCACUACACUGCUCCUGACACAAGGUGAGUGCUUGGCUACACUACUCCUGACAUAAGGUGAGCACUUGGCUACACUGCUCCUGACACAAGGUGAGCACUUGGCUACACUACUCCUGACACAAGGUGAGCACUUGGCUACACUGCUCCUGACACAAGGUGAGCACUUGGCUACACUGCUCCUGACACAAGGUGAGCACUUGGCUACACUGCUCCUGACACAAGGUGAGCGCUGGCUACACUACUCCUGACACAAGGUGAGCGCUGGCUACACUGCUCCUGACACAGAAGGUCAACAGAUACACACCCAAAAAAGUGUGUGUACAAAUUAUUGAUUAUUAUUUCCCAGUAUGUUAUUCCGUAUAGGAAGUUUUUAGUUUAGGAAUGAUUGCACAUGCUGCAUUGUCUGUUAUUUAUUAUAAUUUGUAUUCAACAAAUACACCUGUACCUUACUCAUGUAUUUUAAAGUAAAUGUAACAUAAGGAA